GCAGUUUCCUGUCUCCACAUCCCAAACUCGGAUGGAGGUGUCAAGAGAUCCGCUCACCACAUGGAUACCAUCAAACUACAAGAAAGUCCUCAGCCAUCUGAGUGUAGGCUAACACCAGUGACAACUGAAUACGAGCUUCCACUAGAAUGGAGAAAAAACACACAUACAGCAAAGUUGUUUUAAGACCAUCAUAGAGACAGCUGAUGCUAUUUUAAGAACUCAUGGAAGAUAGACAAGACUUCAGAUGGCAGGUACAAUUUCGCUCUUUAUUCAAGGACGGGAGAUGGGAGAAUAUGGAUCAGUCAGUGUAACUUCAAUUUACAGAAGGAACUAACAAAUAAUACCUGGUGCAAGGAUACUAUCAGUUCACAACGUAGCUCACAGAGUAGUUAGACACAUCAGUAAGAGCUCUGAAGGUCUGGCAUUUAGUAUUUUCAUUAGGAUUUGUGUGACAUUCAAAAUGAUAGAACCCGACCCAAAGCGAUGCAUGUAAAAGUCAAGAGAGAAUUAUGAGGAUCUGAGCUUGGCCAAGAAUACAUGAGGGUAAAACUGCAGCCUGGAAUAGCCAGAGCAAACUAACACUGUUUGUCCAUGUGGGCUUACUGGUAUCUUGUAACAGAGAAGAGAGAACCCAGCUAUCUGGCUGCUUCUUUUUGUAAAACCUCUUCAAUCUCAGAACAGCUUACAUCUCUACCUGUAGUCAUGGUUGAGUGGCACUUUGGUUCAGAAGCUCUAAGGAGCAAUUGGCACGUGCAGACUGCUGACUGGAAUACAUUGCAUGUCCAGUGAAAAUUUACUAAAAAACACACACUCUGGUAUCCAAAAUAGAGAUAUGCUAAACAAUACUCAUAAAAUAACUCUUCCAUUACAGCAAGCAUUGCUAAGACUUUAACGAGAAUUCUGCAUCCUGUUUUCUGCACUGUACUUCCAAGAAAGCAUGUGAAAUAAUUUGAGUUUGGAUAAAGGAAUCAGGAAUGAUGAGCAGCCAGCACACUUGUUGGGUGAAACACAACAGAAUGGACUUAAAGAAAGACUGAUGCAAAAAAAAAUAGACUCUUUUCUUCCUCUCCUCUCAUUUAACUAUAUUCUACAUGCAUAAAGUAUUCAGAAAGAGAGCUUUAAAGCUGAGCGUCAAGACAAACUACUUCAAUACUGCUGCAGUUAAACAGUGAUUCAUAUCAGAGGUUGUACUGUGUCUUGUGAGGCAACCUGAUUACUCUUAAAUUGUUGCAUAAAGAUCUCUAACAAUUGUUUGGGGGUCACAAAUGGGGAAAUACUAAAAUAUAAGAGAAUCUACUAUGGGGCAGGGGGUGGGGAAGACAGGUGUGCUGUUCAGCCUCAUUAUUCUAUUUAUGGGCUGUUUCAGCAGAAGCUCACCUUUCAAUUUCAACAAAUUGGAAUGUCCUAAAACUCUAAGUACCUGUAGCCUUCUGCCCCCUCCAAGUUCCACUUACAAGCUACAAAUACUACCAGCACGUGCAACAUAAUCCAAUUAUUUGACCCUUAAUUACUCUAUUAGUUGAGUAAGACAUGUAUAUUCACCAACUGGAACAAGAGCCACCAGUGAAGAUAAGGUAGAGCAACACACACCAUUCCCAAACUGCACCAGCUGAGAUAAAACCAUAAUAUGAGGUAGGUAGUGAAGCAUUUUUAACCUGUUUGCUGCUUGUCUCAAAUACUCCGCAGUGCAUGAAUGUAAGAGAAGAGAUGGUGACUUGAAAAAUAUAUAGUAAAAUUUAUCAAAAAAGAAAACCAUUUGAUCUAUUAUGGUGAAAAACACCUUUUCAGGAAAGCAUUUAAGAAAAAUGUCUGCAGCACAGAGCUUUUUUCUGUGCUGCAAACUAAACUAGUUACAUGCCGAAUGCAGUUUCCCAGUUGUGAACUGUAUUUGUUGUUAAUUUCUUUUUUGAGUCCUGCCAGAUUGCAAUGAGAACAGGCACAAGCAUGAAAUUAAUUUCUUUCUGCCUGGAAAUGAUGCUUUCACUCCGUGAAUGAACAAGAUGAUCUUUUGGAAUGGUAAAGGCAAGCACAGAAGUGAGAAGGAAUUAAUAUUAGUGGCACAGAUAAAGAAAAACCUCAGCAUUCUUCAAAAAUGAAGAAAUGUAACCAGCAGGCACUCUGACAACAGCACUACACCACAGCCAAGUAAAGCAGCUCUGCCAAUGUUGCUUAAAUCAAGACCUGAAUUUCUACUGCAGAAAUUAUGAUACAGUGCUUAUUUCCCUGGGAGUCUUUUAUUGCCCAUUCGUAGUACUGCUGAACCACCCUAUCUUCCUGACUGGGCAGGAGGCAGCGAAUCAACAUGGCUUAUGGAAUGCAUCCUCUUCUCUGAGCAAUCGAUUUCCACCUUCUUCUCCUACGCUGUGAAAUUUCUCUGUUAAUUUUCCUACAACUGACAUGAAAUCACAGUGCACGUUCUACACAACCAGUGUAGGUUUCUCUCCUGCAAGGCAAUGCUCAUCUCAGCUCUUAUUUGCUUUGGUCGUAUUUUGAAUAAAAGCUAUCCUUAACCAGGAAAAAUUAGUGUAUUUUAAAACCCAUAUACGUGUUAUACCUUAUGCAUAUUAAGUUCAAGCUUAAGUAGUCUAGUUUCAUUUCUAGUACUCCGCAGAUUACUUCUGCUUCCUACUUUUAACAAAGAUAGGCACUACGUAGCUCAAAGGACCCCUAGCUGUAAAUUUAAAGUCACCCAAAUUCCCUUCAUAAAACUUUAAGCUUAUUAUGUAAACGAGCUGCACUUUUUGACAGCAACACUUUGACCAUUACAUUCAUCUUUUUGCUC